rnacentral:rRNA from 1 species
CGGAGACGCGGCUUCCCUUCGGGGCGGGCUCACAGGUGGUGCAUGGUCGUCGUCAGCUCGUGUCGUGAGAUGUUGGGUUAAGUCCCGCAACGAGCGCAACCCUCGCCGCGUGUUGCCAGCGGGUAGUGCCGGGGACUCGCGCGGGACCGCCGGGGUUAACUCGGAGGAAGGUGGGGAUGACGUCAGAUCAUCAUGCCCCUUACGUCUUGGGCUUCACGCAUGCUACAAUGGCCGGCACAGCGGGGUGCGAUGCCGUGAGGCGGAGCGGAUCCCUGAAAGCCGGUCUCAGUUCGGAUCGGAGCCUGCAACCCGGCUCCGUGAAGGUGGAGUCGCUAGUAAUCGCGGAUCACAACGCCGCGGUGAAUGCGUUCCCGGGUCUUGUACAC